GGCAAUCUGCCCUGCACUCUGGGAUAACUCCGGGAAACCGGAGCUAAUACCGGAUACGACUCUCCAGGGCAUCCUGGGGGGUGGAAAGCUCCGGCGGUGCAGGAUGAGCCCGCGGCCUAUCAGCUGGUUGGUGGGGUAACGGCCCACCAAGGCGACGACGGGUAGCCGGCCUGAGAGGGCGACCGGCCACACUGGGACUGAGACACGGCCCAGACUCCUACGGGAGGCAGCAGUGGGGAAUAUUGCACAAUGGGCGCAAGCCUGAUGCAGCGACGCCGCGUGAGGGAUGACGGCCUUCGGGUUGUAAACCUCUUUCAGCAGGGAAGAAGCGCGAGUGACGGUACCUGCAGAAGAAGCACCGGCUAACUACGUGCCAGCAGCCGCGGUAAUACGUAGGGUGCGAGCGUUGUCCGGAAUUAUUGGGCGUAAAGAGCUCGUAGGCGGCCUGUCGCGUCGGAUGUGAAAGCCCGGGGCUUAACCCCGGGUCUGCAUUCGAUACGGGCAGGCUAGAGUUCGGUAGGGGAGAUCGGAAUUCCUGGUGUAGCGGUGAAAUGCGCAGAUAUCAGGAGGAACACCGGUGGCGAAGGCGGAUCUCUGGGCCGAUACUGACGCUGAGGAGCGAAAGCGUGGGGAGCG
rnacentral:rRNA from 1 species